GAUGAACGCUGGCGGCGUGCCUAAUACAUGCAAGUCGAGCGAACAGACGAGGAGCUUGCUCCUCUGACGUUAGCGGCGGACGGGUGAGUAACACGUGGAUAACCUACCUAUAAGACUGGGAUAACUUCGGGAAACCGGAGCUAAUACCGGAUAAUAUAUUGAACCGCAUGGUUCAAUAGUGAAAGACGGUUUUGCUGUCACUUAUAGAUGGAUCCGCGCCGCAUUAGCUAGUUGGUAAGGUAACGGCUUACCAAGGCAACGAUGCGUAGCCGACCUGAGAGGGUGAUCGGCCACACUGGGACUGAGCCACGGUCCAGACUCCUACGGGAGGCGGCAGUAGGGAAUCUUCCGCAAUGGGCGAAAUCUUGACGGAGCAACGCCGCGUGAGUGAUGAAGGUCUUCGGAUCGUAAAACUCUGUUAUUAGGGAAGAACAAAUGUGUAAGUAACUAUGCACGUCUUGACGGUACCUGAUCAGAAAGCCACGGCUAACUACGUG
rnacentral:rRNA from 1 species